GGGGCUGUAGCUCAGUUGGGAGAGCGCCUCGUUCGCAAUGAGGAGGUCAGCGGUUCGAUCCCGCUCAGCUCCA
rnacentral:tRNA from 1 species